rnacentral:rRNA from 1 species
GAUGAACGCUGGCGGCGUGCUUAACACAUGCAAGUCGAACGAGAAGUGGAGACGGAAACCUUCGGGCGGAAGACUUUAUUUCGAGUGGCGGACGGGUGAGUAACGCGUGAGUAACCUGCCUCAUACAGGGGGAUAACAGUUGGAAACGACUGUUAAUACCGCAUAAGACCACAGCACCGCAUGGUGCGGGGGUAAAAACUCCGGUGGUAUGAGAUGGACCCGCGUUCGAUUAGCCAGUUGGCGGGGUAACGGCCCACCAAAGCGACGAUCGAUAGCCGAUCUGAGAGGAUGACCGGCCACAUUGGGACUGAGACACGGCCCAAACUCCUACGGGAGGCAGCAGUGGGGAAUAUUGCACAAUGGGGGAAACCCUGAUGCAGCGACGCCGCGUGAGUGAAGAAGUAUUUCGGUAUGUAAAGCUCUAUCAGCAGGGAAGAAAAUGACGGUACCUGAGUAAGAAGCCCCGGCUAACUACGUG